rnacentral:rRNA from 1 species
UGCAACCGUUGUUCGGAAUUACUGGGCGUAAAGCGCGUGUAGGCGGCUCGGAAAGUCGGAUGUGAAAGCCCUGGGCUUAACCUAGGAAGUGCAUUCGAAACUCCCGAGCUUGAGUUCUGGAGAGGAAGGCGGAAUUCUCGGUGUAGAGGUGAAAUUCGUAGAUAUCGGGAGGAACACCGGUGGCGAAGGCGGCCUUCUGGACAGUGACUGACGCUGAGACGCGAAAGCGUGGGGAGCAAACAGG